rnacentral:rRNA from 1 species
CAGUCGCCACGGGAAUACGAAGGGGGCUAGCGUUGUUCGGAAUUACUGGGCGUAAAGGGCGCGUAGGCGGCCAUUCAAGUUAGAUGUGAAAGCCCUGGGCUCAACCUAGGAAUUGCAUUUGAUACUGUUUGGCUUGAGUUCGGGAGAGGUGAGUGGAAUUCCCAGUGUAGAGGUGAAAUUCGUAGAUAUUGGGAAGAACACCAGUGGCGAAGGCGGCUCACUGGACCGACACUGACGCUGAGGCGCGAAAGCGUGGGGAGCAAACAGGAUUAGAUACCCCGGUAGUCCCUGUCUCUUAUAC